rnacentral:misc_RNA from 1 species
GUAUUAAUUUUAAACGUGGAGUGUUUGUGUAACAACGGUUAACAAACGUGUCUUUUUAGUGCCCUUUUUUCUAUUAAAUAGUUUUAGAAAACGAUAUCUUGCCAGUACAAAAGUUUCAUAAUCUAAUGCCUUUCGCCUCUAUAUAGUUGAUAGUAAGCUUCGUGUAAAGAGUUAGGCGCGCUAGUUAGAUUCGUAGAAGACAUAAGUUUAUAUUUCAAACGAAGUUUUGUAAAAAAAAUAUCGAUGUCUUUGAUUUGUGGAGAGCCGGGCGGCCCUCUCUUAUCAGAGCCGCUAUUGAGUUUAUACAAAUCACCCAUGUCAGGGUGUGCAUUCCUGACAUAUUUCAAUCCAGAAAGU